CAAGAAGCUGGUCUCAUUGGCUGUUGGUUUAUCAGCCUGGGCCAUCACAACUUUUGGCCCCCAAGGUGUUGGCUCCUCUUGUUUUCUCUGUCCAGAGACAACCCGAGCAGUUGGCUGGUUCACCUUCUACAAUGAGAAACGGCCACUCAUCAACACACAGAGUCUUGUCAUCCCCCUCCGGUUGAGCAAACUGCAAAGACAUAACGCUGCCCUCCAGAGUGGCUGGCACAGCAGCUUCUGGAACAGGUCGAGGAGGAGGUACGCCCUCCAGAGUAGCUGGUACAGCAGCUUCUGGAACAGGUCGAGGGGGAGGUACCAGCUUCGAAGCUAUCAUACCAAUGUACAAACCUCAUGAGGAAGGAUCCGCACGGAAGACUGAUCCCAGUCCUCAGGCGCAUCCCAGGACUCAGUUUCCUUGAAGGGGUCAAGGGGACGUGGACGUGAAACUUCUCCCUUCACAACCACGGUGGUAGCAAAGGGUCUCACAGUCGGGGGUGACUUGGGAGGAGAGACAGGCGGUGGUGUAACAGGCAGAGGUGACUGUAGCUGCCGAAAGGAGAAGUGCCACAGAAGCUUGGCGAGAAGCGGCAUCCCCAGAUCGUCACUCAGGUGGAUCUAUUAU